rnacentral:rRNA from 1 species
AUGGCACCAUCAUCUGUGUUCAUCCGACAAAAACAAAAUCAGGUGAAAUCCAUCCAAUAUAUUUUUAUAUUGCAUAUUGCUUUCUUUAAAAGAGCAAUUACUCUGGCUUGCAAGUUCUCCCAUGCAGGACUCAAACCGGUCUAUAUCACGGUCAACUGUGGAGAAUCUCAAGUCAACUCAUUGAGUCGUCUUAAAGACUCGAGUCCUACAUGGACAUGGCUCAGUAAAUGUUGCCAGCUUAAAGGCCGUCAGAAAAUUUUCGGCUUAAAAAGAAGGAUUCCGGUUCAAGGUAAACCUGUCUCCCAUAAAGCUUUGAAGCUCUCAAAUCCAGUUUAA